rnacentral:rRNA from 1 species
GAUGAACGCUGGCGGCGUGCCUAAUACAUGCAAGUCGAACGGAGAUUGUAGCAAUACAUCUUAGUGGCGAACGGGUGAGUAACGCGUUGGUGACCUGCCCCGAAGUGUGGGAUAACAGCCCGAAAGGGUUGCUAAUACCGCAUGUGGUUUUUCGGAUUAGAUGCCGAAUUUCUAAAGGAGAAAUUCGCUUCGGGAGGGGCCUGCGUCCCAUCAGCUAGUUGGUAGGGUAAGCCUACCAAGGCGAUGACGGGUAGGGGACCUGAGAGGGUGGCCCCCCACAAUGGAACUGAAACACGGUCCAUACACCUACGGGUGGCAG